rnacentral:rRNA from 1 species
GACGAACGCUGGCGGCGUGCUUAACACAUGCAAGUCGAACGGAAAGGCCCUGCUUUUGUGGGGUGCUCGAGUGGCGAACGGGUGAGUAACACGUGAGUAACCUGCCCUUGACUUUGGGAUAACUUCAGGAAACUGGGGCUAAUACCGGAUAGGAGCUCCUGCUGCAUGGUGGGGGUUGGAAAGUUUCGGCGGUUGGGGAUGGACUCGCGGCUUAUCAGCUUGUUGGUGGGGUAGUGGCUUACCAAGGCUUUGACGGGUAGCCGGCCUGAGAGGGUGACCGGCCACAUUGGGACUGAGAUACGGCCCAGACUCCUACGGGAGGCAGCAGUGGGGAAUAUUGCACAAUGGGCGGGAGCCUGAUGCAGCAACGCCGCGUGCGGGAUGACGGCCUUCGGGUUGUAAACCGCUUUCGCCUAUGACGAAGCGUGAGUGACGGUAAUGGGUAAAGAAGCACCGGCUAACUACGUG